rnacentral:tRNA from 1 species
GGCCCGGUGGCGGAAUGGUAGACGCAGCGGAUUCAAAAUCCGCCGAUGGCAACAUUGUGCGAGUUCAAGUCUCGCCCGGGCCACCA